UGGGGAAUAUUGCACAAUGGGCGCAAGCCUGAUGCAGCCAUGCCGCGUGUAUGAAGAAGGCCUUCGGGUUGUAAAGUACUUUCAGCGGGGAGGAAGGGAGUAAAGUUAAUACCUUUGCUCAUUGACGUUACCCGCAGAAGAAGCACCGGCUAACUCCGUGCCAGCAGCCGCGGUAAUACGGAGGGUGCAAGCGUUAAUCGGAAUUACUGGGCGUAAAGCGAACGCAGGCGGUUUGUUAAGUCAGAUGUGAAAUCCCCGGGCUCAACCUGGGAACUGCAUCUGAUACUGGCAAGCUUGAGUCUCGUAGAGGGGGGUAGAAUUCCAGGUGUAGCGGUGAAAUGCGUAGAGAUCUGGAGGAAUACCGGUGGCGAAGGCGGCCCCCUGGACGAAGACUGACGCUCAGGUGCGAAAGCGUGGGGAGCAAACA
rnacentral:rRNA from 1 species